rnacentral:pre_miRNA from 1 species
UUAGUACUCCCUCCGUCCCAAAAUUCUUGUCUUAAAUUUGUCUAAAUACGGAUGUAUCUAGUUACAUUUUAGUGCUAGAUACAUCCAUAUCUAAACAAAUGUAAGACAAGAAUUUUGGGACGGAGGGAAUACUAC